rnacentral:rRNA from 1 species
GAAUGAACGCUGGCGGCAUGCCUAACACAUGCAAGUCGAACGAGACCUUCGGGUCUAGUGGCGCACGGGUGCGUAACGCGUGGGAAUCUGCCCUUGGGUUCGGAAUAACUCCUCGAAAGGGGUGCUAAUACCGGAUAAUGUCGUAAGACCAAAGAUUCAUCGCCCAAGGAUGAGCCCGCGUAGGAUUAGCUAGUUGGUGAGGUAAAAGCUCACCAAGGCGACGAUCCUUAGCUGGUCUGAGAGGAUGAUCAGCCACACUGGGACUGAGACACGGCCCAGACUCCUACGGGAGGCAGCAGUGGGGAAUAUUGGACAAUGGGCGAAAGCCUGAUCCAGCAAUGCCGCGUGAGUGAUGAAGGCCUUAGGGUUGUAAAGCUCUUUUACCCGGGAUGAU